AGCACUAUUUUUAAACCUGUUGGUGGAAUUUCCUGACUGCCAUGGGUUACGCUGUAGUGCAAAAGAAUCUCCUGGCCCUUUGGAGCAUAGCUGACCUUGCUCAGUUCGGCUGAUGCUUCUCUGAAGCUAAGGAACAGAA
rnacentral:snoRNA from 1 species